AUAGCAGUACAGUACAAGGAAAACCCCAUCGGAUCUGUUAUUGCAGGAUACUUGUGAAAUAUACAUAGGAUUCUUUCUUUCUUAUGGCUGCAUCCCGGAUUUGGAAAUUUUACAUGAGCACUAGGAAGCUUUGAAAGACUCCAUGCACAGAGAAGAUUUGCAACCAGGACUACACUUGCCACAGAGCUCACUGACUUGUUCAGUUAUCAUUCCCUUUUCUUUUCUUUAGCUUUUUUCCCCUUUUCUUUUUCUUUUCUCUCCUCUCUUUUCUGUAUCCCUCCUGGUCUGUUUCUCUUUUUUCCCUUAGUCUUUUAUUACUGCUUCACACCUGGAUCGUAUCUUCACUGAACGGGUACUUUGAGAACUAACAGAAGACAGUCUUGUGGGGGAAGAUCUAUAUGGAAUUAUCGGCUUUUAUGGUGAACUUGGCACUUGUGAAUGGGUAUCUUGUUCGCAUUAUUAAUUGCUAGCAAAAAAAAAAAAAAAUCACACACGGGAGUAAAACGUGGAUUCUCUGAAUACGCAUUGUGAUGACCAGCAAUUACCUUGUUGACUGAUAUCAAGAUCGGAAUAUUUUGGAAGACUGUGGGAAACAGCCUUUUAAGAGCUGGAAAAUGAAAGCUCCAAUUCCACACUUGAUUCUCUUAUAUGCCACAUUCACUCAGAGCUUGAAGGUUGUGACCAAAAGAGGUUCAGUUAAUGUUUUAUUUUAAAGUAAAUUGGAUUAGAUAGUGUCUGCAAUCAUGACAAUUGUUCUUGGGACCCUGGAGCAUCACUUAUAGAAAAAACAACAAUAACAUCAAAGCAAAUGAAUGAGGAAUGAGGAAUUCACCAUCCAUUGUCAUCCUGUUCUUCAAGUCAAGAAUAUGGAAUAAUCUCUUCAAGGAAAUAUAGAAUAAAGAAAAUUACAUCUUCUUGAAUUUAUUUGUGGACUUCCCUCUGGUUCAAUUCUUUAUAUAGCUUGAAUUAGGUUCCAUGAUAGAUUUCCAUCUUCUAGUAUAUUAGCCUAUAUAGUAUUUUCUUUAUUACCAUAUUUUAAAUUCAGUAAUGUGAUUAUAAAUUCAAAGAUGUUUAAAUUUAGAAAGUAUUUUAAAGAUAAUUUCUCACUACUUAUUAUUGUUGAGAAAACUGAGAAAGAGACUUGUCCAGGCUAACUCAAGUUCCUGGCAGAAUUGGGACUUACACUGAGUGAAUUCCCAAGUCCAAUGUACCAUCCUGACUCAAGCUGAUCACCUUGAAAUACUAAGCUUUUUAUCUGUAUUUUAUACUUUCUACUUUAGAAAAUAUAAAUUUUAUUUUGGAGUUGUCAUGAGUUUUGUUUCUUCUUAAACAAAAGUUUAUUUGUUUCUUCUUAUUUCUUACUCCUUUUGUGAGUAAGAGAUAUCCAGACAAAUUAUCCACUCUGAAGAUAUGUGACUUAUGUAAUAUUUCUAUGUGUAAUUUAUAUUACAUAACUUGAUUUUCUUCAUUCACAAAGGAAGUAAUGUACUAACAUGGUGGGAUAUUAACAAUAGUUAAUGACUAUAAAUGUUUAUUGCCUUUAGGAAAUUUAUUUUUUAUUUAUUAUUAAAUUUAUUUUUUUCAAGUAUUUCAACCCAUGUUGACUUAUUUCCUAGUUCCUUAAGUAUUUGACUAUGUUAAUUAACUAUUUGUUAAAUCCUAGAUCUCCACCACCCACAAAAAAGUAGUACUGUAAUAUUUAUUUGAGUUUGCAGUCACUAACUACUGUGCAUAGCUAAUUACUAUAUAAGUGCAUAAAUAUUUCCUAAAUUUAUAAUGACAGAAAAUAAUCCUCUCAAAAUACUAAUAAUCUUUUCUAUGCUAAUCUGAGUACCUUCUCUAAAAAAGUAUACAAAUUGUAUACUAAACUACAGUGAAUUGUUGCUUAAGUGCCUUGGAAACCAGAAAUAAAAUGAGAAGAGCAAUAAAUGGUAAAUGUUGAAGAUGUAAUUAAAGAUUUUUUUUCUGUGCACAUAUGUCCUUUUAUUGGGAUUUAGAAUUAGAAGAGGCAUGUUACUAUAACUGAGUGAUACAUAUUAAAUGUUCUAAGUCAGGAAAAUACUAUUUAAAUGUAAUUCUCCCUGCUUUAUUAACUUUAUAUAUUUACAUUUUUUAAUCAUUUGGGAUUUGUUUACUAUGUUUAAGAGCUGGCAAUGCAUAAAUUCUAUCAAAUAUAUUAUUUUAAAUGUACCUCUGUGAAGAAAAAAAUCAAUAAUACCUAUUAGAGUCUAACUGCUGAUCUAUUUUAUGCUACUUUUGUCCUAUCUUAAUAUUUUUUAUGUUAUUCCAUUUACUGUGCUUCUUUUCUAUCCCCAAUAGUUUUUUCACUUAUUUCUGAAGCAGCAGGCAGUAUAUGUUGUUUCAGCUUUUUUAGAAAAAUAAUUUUGAUGUCGAUUUAUUUCUGAAUAAGUGAUUUCCACACACUAUUAUAUAUGUGUAUAUAUAUAUACACACACAUAUAUAUAUAUAUAUCCUUAUCUGUAUAAAUAUAUAGUUGGUACAUAUACACAGAUACAUACAUGUGCUUAUAUGCAUAUAUAUGUGCAAAUCUUACUUUAAUUAUAUUGCACUAUUAUAUUCUAUGAAACUAUAAAGCUCAUCCAUUGAUUUAUGAUUAGUCACCUUGAAUUGUUUUGAUCGAAUAUACUGCAGUUGCUAUGCUGCAAAUAUUUAGUUGUUGUUUUCUUUGUCCUCCAACAUUCUUUCUGACAUAUGAGAGAUGUAUUAUUGUGAUGCAUAAUGGUUUAUAAAGAUUUUUAUAUAUUAAACUUUAAUGAUAGCUUACAAACCACUAUUUUGGGAUGUGGGGUGGCAGAUAAAAACAUGUAUUAGAUAAUUUCCUGUACAGUGUCUUAAAUUCCUUUCAUUUGCUUAUACUAUUUUUUUUUGGUCAUUCUAAUUUGUAUAACCUUAUUUUGCGUGGUACCUUUCUCCUUUCUAAAUUGUAAGGUUUUGUAGGAGAGUAGGUUUUUAGAAUUUUAAUUCCCAAUAUCUAGCAUAAUGACCGGCAUAAUUGGAUUGGAUCUGAAUUUAAUUGGUUAAGGGAUAUCCCAUGAUGAAGUACCUACUGAUGAAAUACAUCAGAAAGCACUCUUGGAUUUAAAAUCUUAGAGAGUCACUUAUGAGGCUAAGUGACUUGCCUAGUCUCAAACAACCAUUUUCUGUCAUAGGCCUGACUUCAAUUCAGACAUUCUUUUCUGACAAUUCUAGUCUUUAUUUUCUACUUUAACUGUGAUGCACAAUUUAAUUAAAUUAGCUUAGAUUAGCACUUUUUAUUAUUAACCACAAAGUUUCUAAAGAAUCAUUUUAUGCAUAGAAUUGACUUUUUUAAAUGUUUAAUUUUAAUUAAAACCAAUGUUAAUUUUUUUUUACUUAAAGUUUCUGCCUUUUAUUAUCCUUGAAGACUGCAUGUGUAAUAUGUGCAUAUAGUACACAGUGAAGAACAAUAUGAAAGAGUCAGAUAAAAAUGUAAUAGGAAUAUUUGAAGAAGACAAGAUACAUUUAGCUGAGGUUAUCAGAGAAAAAUAACACAAAAAAAGUCAACAUGACCAUUGAGUUAAGCCUUCAAGGAAAAUAAGGAUUCCUAAAGGUAAUGAUGAAGAAUGUUUAUAUUCCAGGUAUGAAGUGAAUACAUGAAAGUGAGACCAGAAAACAUCAAUUAAUUCAGUUUAACUAGAGUCUAGAGAGUAAAUAGUAAAGUAAUGUGAAAUAAACCUAUAAAAACAACUUGAGGGCAGAUUGUAGAGAUUCUUAAUGAGUAGCCAGUCUAAACAAUUUGAAAUUUUAUCCUAGAGGGUUUUUUGAGAAGAUAUCUGAACUGGGGAAUAAUAUAAUGAGACCUGUGUGAUAGGAAUAUUCUUUUAGUAGCGAUUUAUAAAGGGGAUAGAAGAAUGGGGAACGGAAUUGAAAAGAUCAGUGGGGAGAUAAAAAGUUAACAGGACUUGAAAUAAGGCGUACAAGUGAUGAGGAGAGGAAAGAGUGAGAAUUACCAUGUUAAUGAGGUGGCCAAAACUUGACCACUGAUUGUAUAUGGGCCUUGGGGAAAAGUAUUUGCACACCCAAAUAUACAGACAUGUAUAUGGUAUUUAUACAUAUAUAUAUAUAUAUAUAUAUAUAUAUAUAUAUAUAUAUAUAUAUACAUAUGAAGGAAUUGCAUCUAAGCUAUAAAGAGAUGUUGUUACCCUCUAUAAUACUACAAAAUUUGGAAUAAAUGAUGGUGUGGGAUACAAGAUGAUAAAUUCAGUUUUCAAUAUGUUAAUUUUUAGAUGCUUUCAGGUACACAGGUCCAGUAGGCGGUUGUACAUGUGUAACUGGAACUCAAAAUAUAUGGAUAUGGAAAUUUGGGAGUUAUCCACAUAAAAGUGACAACUAAAUCUAUAGAAGAUGGUAAAAAUUAUCUACAAGGCAAGUAUAGAAAGAAAAAAAAAAGGAAUUUCUUGGAUGUGUUUGAGGAAGGCUAAAAUUAGAGAGCGGGAAAUGAGGAAUGAGUCAACAAAGGAGAUAAAGAAUCAGUGGCCAAACAAAUAAUCAAAGGAUCAGGAAAAGCAAAACUACAAAAUGAAAAUACAUUAUUUCUGAGAAGGUAUGGGAGCACUUGUCAAAAGUUAUAUGCAUUCUAGAACUGAAUGUUCAAAGGGACAACAUAAUAGUUUGAUGAAAUGACAGGGUCAAGUGAAAGUUGUUAGGGAUGAAGAGAUCAAAGCAAGUCUGUAGCCUGCAAAUCAAGAACCUGUAGAAAGAAAAAAAGCUGAUAAUUGUAACAGUAGAAAUGAGGCAAACUUCCAGAGAAGACUGGAGAAGAUGGAAAUCCAUAGAAAAACUAUGGUGGUUAGCCUUGUGAUGGUGCUUAGUAUAAGAUAUAUUAAAAAUGAGUAUACACAAAAAAUGAGCCAUUCAUGCAGGUAUUACUCCUAAAAAGAAACACAGAACAUAAAGUAUCUUUAGAAGAAUGUUUUAUAAGCUCCAGAAGGCCCAAGAGAAGAAGACUUGUGAUUAACAAAUUAUUUUUUUUAAAGUUGAGGAAGAAUUCUCAAAGAGAAAGUGAAAUAUGAAGUAAAAGGAGAAGGGGGACGACAUAAAUCAAUAUGCAUCAAUAGGAUUGAAGUUAGGAAAAUUUCUUAAAUUUAAACAUAUAUAUGUGUGUGUGUGUGUGUGUGUGUGUGUGUAUAUAUAUAUAUAUAUAUAUAUAUAUAUAUAU
rnacentral:lncRNA from 1 species